AGAGUUUGAUCCUGGCUCAGAUUGAACGCUGGCGGCAGGCCUNNCACAUGCAAGUCGAACGGUAACAGNGAGCAGCUUGCUGCUCUGCUGACGAGUGGCGGACGGGUGAGUAAUGUCUGGGGAUCUGCCCGAUGGAGGGGGAUAACCACUGGAAACGGUGGCUAAUACCGCAUAACGUCGCAAGACCAAAGUGGGGGACCUUCGGGCCUCACACCAUCGGAUGAACCCAGAUGGGAUUAGCUAGUAGGUGGGGUAACGGCUCACCUAGGCGACGAUCCCUAGCUGGUCUGAGAGGAUGACCAGCCACACUGGAACUGAGACACGGUCCAGACUCCUACGGGAGGCAGCAGUGGGGAAUAUUGCACAAUGGGCGCAAGCCUGAUGCAGCCAUGCCGCGUGUAUGAAGAAGGCCUUCGGGUUGUAAAGUACUUUCAGCGGGGAGGAAGGGAUGGAGCUUAAUACGCUUCGUCAUUGACGUUACCCGCAGAAGAAGCACCGGCUAACUCCGUGCCAGCAGCCGCGGUAAUACGGAGGGUGCAAGCGUUAAUCGGAAUUACUGGGCGUAAAGCGCACGCAGGCGGUCUGUCAAGUCGGAUGUGAAAUCCCCGGGCUCAACCCGGGAACUGCAUUCGAAACUGGCAGGCUAGAGUCUCGUAGAGGGGGGUAGAAUUCCAGGUGUAGCGGUGAAAUGCGUAGAGAUCUGGAGGAAUACCGGUGGCGAAGGCGGCNNC
rnacentral:rRNA from 1 species